GGGAGGGAACCUGCCUCCUUCACCAGCCCCAUAAAUAGGAGGGACUUGGAGCAGGACCACACCUGUGGGACUCUGGCUGCAGGAGCUGCUCCGUGCUGCUCUCCCUUCCCUUCCAGCGCCUCGGAGUUCUGCCCGAGGCAUGGGGACCAGGGGAUGGAUGCUUCCGACCUUCAUGGGAUGCUGCCUAUGGAUUCUGCACGGGCUGGGGACCACUGCUGCUGCCCCUGUCACCACAGAAGGACCAUUUGCUGCCACUCCAUCGCAGAGCGAGGCACCCACUGCCCUGCUGCUGGGCACUGUGGGGACGAGAACUGUCAAUGACACCGUGAUGGCUGAGAGCAUCCUCGCGAGUCCCACCAUGAGCCCAUCCUUCCCCUCCUGGGCUGAGCCAGAUUCAGUGACCGAGACCACAGGGUACAACUCCCCUCUGGGUGCAGAGAGAGAUGCAGGGCUGAGCACUGGGGAAGUGACACAGGCACCUACUGGAGUCCCUCAGGCUGGGACGGACGUGGUCACAUCUCUUGAUGCAACACAGAAAAACCAGAGCGGUUUGGCAACUGCCACAGCUGCUGCCAUUGUUGUCACCCCACAGCCCAAUUUUACCCCCAGCACCAAGCACAACAUAACAGGGACCACUGCUGCUGCACCCUUGGGGAGCACCCCUGUCUUUGCAGAUGCCCCAGCAUCCACAACAAGGGCAGGAGGUGCCUUGGAGUCCACAACUGAUGCCAUGUUCCUCCCCAGUGUCACCAUUCCAACAGCUGCAGGGACACAGGCGGUGACCACCACCCCCCUGCACACCCGUGUCACUGCUCUGCCCCCAGCUGCGGGAGCAGAGGUGGAAGGUGUCACCGUGCCUGGGGACAGCCAAGGGGAUGGACGUGCCCCCUCAUCAAUCCCCAGCCCUGGUGCCAGUGGGCUUCUCCCAACACCGUGGGCCAAGAUUGUGAGUGGAACAGUGGGUGACACCCCAGGGUGGGCAGCUUUGGAGCCUGGAGAUGUGGGAGAUGCAGCAAAUGAUGUCUUCAGCACAGCUGAUUCAUCACAACUGCCUCCAGAGAAUGUAACAGCAUUGGGAACAGCAGAAAAUCCUGGGCAGGGCUCCCUUCUCGCUGGCCAGGCAGGGCCAAGCCCUACUGAUUUGCUAGAAUCUGGAGAUGGGGACAAGCAGGGAGCCCCAGCAGUGUUGCUGCCAUCUGGCCCUGGCUCAGUCCUGGCAGACAGUGAGGCGCCUGCAGCACCUGGAGUGAGAGGGGACACAGCCACUCUGCUGCCAGACACCGAUGUGCAGAGUGAUGCAGACAUCCCAGCCGCAGACACUGGCGUGCCCCUGCCCACAGAGGCUGUGGAUCUGGCCGAGAGCUCCCUGCAGCCAUGGCUGAGCCCCAUUGGAGAAGAGCAAUUACUGCUUGGUGCUGAUCCACUGGCCCCUACAGGCACUUCUGGUGCACCCACCACUGCUUUCCCACACCCAGGGGUUGCAGCCGGAUCCCUUCCAGAAACUGAUGGUGGCACAGAGGCAGCGGUGAGCCCUGACUACAGUGCUGAUCUAGGAGUAUCUCUGUCCCCAUCCCUAGAGGGGUUACAGCCAUGGGGGGCAGCAGCUGACGGACCCAGCACCAGUCUGAACUCAGCUUUGGGUGCCACCAAUCCAUCAUCUUCAGUACCUGAUGGUGCAGCAUUGUAUGCUGAAGGGCAACAGGCACAGGAAGACACAGGUGCAGGGGACACAACACAGGCAGAAGAUGCAGGA
ensembl:lncRNA